CGGCGGACGGGUGAGUAAUGCCUAGGAAUCUGCCUGGUAGUGGGGGACGAACGUUUCGAAAGGAACGCUAUACCGCAUACGUCCUACGGGAGAAAGCAGGGACCUUCGGGCCUUGCGCUAUCAGAUGAGCCUAGGUCGGAUUAGCUAGUUGGUGAGGUAAUGGCUCACCAAGGCGACGAUCCGUAACUGGUCUGAGAGGAUGAUCAGUCACACUGGAACUGAGACACGGUCCAGACUCCUACGGGAGGCAGCAGAC
rnacentral:rRNA from 1 species